rnacentral:miRNA from 1 species
UCUGGUGUACAACUUGAUGGA